rnacentral:rRNA from 1 species
CGAACUCGGAGAUAGCUGGUUCUCCCCGAAAUGUAUUUAGGUACAGCCUCAAUCGUAGUCUUAAGGAGGUAGGGCACUGGAUGGGAUAGGGGGCGUAAGCUUACCAAACCUAACCAAACCACGAAUGCCUUAAGAUGUUCAUUGGGAGUGAGACAGUGGGGGAUAAGCUUCAUUGUCGAAAGGGAAACAGCCCAGACCGCAGGUUAAGGCCCCUAAAUGUGAACUAAGUGUGAAAGGAAGUAGGAUUGCUAAAACAGCUAGGAGGUUGGCUUAGAAGCAGCCAUCCUUUGAAGAGUGCGUAACUGCUCACUAGUCGAGGAAUCCUGCGCCGAAAAUUUAACGGGGCUAAGUUCACUGCCGAAACCGCGGAUCUAAUAAUUUAUUAUUAGGUGGUAGGGGAGCGUUGUUAUCAGCAUAGAAGCUCAAAUGUGAGUUUGGGUGGAGCAAUGACAAGUGAGAAUGGCGGCAUGAGUAGCGACAAUCCUGGUGAGAAUCCAGGACACCGAAAGCCCAAGGUUUCCUACACAACGCUGAUCGAUGUAGGGUAAGUCGGGCCUAAGCCGUAGCGUGCAAGCGAAGGCGAUGGACAACGGGUUAAUAUUCCCGUACUGCUACUAUUUUGUUAUAAAGUAAAGGGGGGACACGGAAAGGUAGACGAAGCGUGCGUAUUGGACAUCGUGCGUUCUGUCCCGUAGGCCAAGCUAUAAUAGGCAAAUCCGUUAUAGCGCUAUGAGCUGAGAGGAUAGAGAACUUUCGGGCUUCGGCCCUAGGGAACUUCGCUGAUCCUAUACCGUCGAGAAAAGCCUCGUUACAAGAAAUAGAAGUAUCCGUACCGCAAACCGACACAGGUAGGCUGGGGUAAGUGUCCCAAGGUGAACGAGAUAACCCUCCUUAAGGAAUUCGACAAAUUAGCCCUGUAACUUUGGGAGAAAGGGUGCCCACGAGGUGAAAUCCACUUGCUGGAUGGAGGCCUUUGUGGGUCGCAGCAAAGAGGCUCAGGCGACUGUUUAUCAAAAACACAGGUGUCUGCUAAACCGAAAGGUGAUGUAUAGGCGCUGACGCCUGCCCAGUGCCGGAAGGUUAAGGGAAUGGGUUAGUUAAAUUCGUUUAACAAAGCUCAGAACCGAAGCCCCGGUGAACGGCGGCCGUAACUAUAACGGUCCUAAGGUAGCGAAGUCCCUUGUCGGGUAAGUUCCGACCUGCACGAAUGGCGUCACGACCUGAGCGUUGUCUCAAGGGGGGACUCGGUGAAAUUGCAAGUCCAGUGAAGAUGCUGGAUACCCGCAACAGGACAAAAAGACCCCGUGGAGCUUUACUGCAACUUGACAGUGGAUUGUGGUUAUAUAUGUGUAGGAUAGGCGGGAGACUUUGAAACUAUCACGCCAGUGGUGGUGGAGUCAACCUUGAAAUACCGCUCUUCUAUGACCUAUGUCCUAACCCCUAUGAACUAGGGGGACCCUGCCAGGUGGGCAGUUUGACUGGGGCGGUCGCCUCCUAAA